rnacentral:rRNA from 1 species
AACGAACGCUGGCGGCAUGCCUAACACAUGCAAGUCGAACGAGACCUUCGGGUCUAGUGGCGCACGGGUGCGUAACGCGUGGGAACCUGCCCUUAUGUUCGGAAUAACUCCCCGAAAGGGGUGCUAAUACCGGAUAAUGUCUUCGGCCCAAAGAUUUAUCGCCUUUGGAUGGGCCCGCGUUGGAUUAGCUAGUUGUUAGGGUAAAAGCCUACUAAGGCGACGAUCCAUAGCUGGUCUGAGAGGAUGAUCAGCCACACUGGGACUGAGACACGGCCCAGACUCCUACGGGAGGCAGCAGUGGGGAAUAUUGGACAAUGGGCGAAAGCCUGAUCCAGCAAUGCCGGGUGAGUGAUGAAGGCCUUAGGGUUGUAAAGCUCUUUUAACCGGGAUGAUAAUGACAGUACCGGGAGAAUAAGCUCCGGCUAACUCCGUG